GAAAAUGAAGAAUGGUUGAUCUCACUGAUCUAGAAUUGCUCCUAAACGUAUAGAAAGAGCUCCCCUUCUCCGUAUCCGUGCAAUGCUGGUUCCAAUAAAGCAAGACUAGAAUGAGAUAACGAUCUCCUAAAGAGAUAAGCAUGAAAUGUAAGUAAGUCACCUUCCCAGCUUCUUCUCCGGAAUGAGGGACAUUCUCAUAGUUCUUAUACUGUUCAAGCCUAGUUUUCCUGUAGUCUUUUCUAGUAACGCUAAGUCUCUCCCACGGUAUACCCUGAAUGUCCUUCCCAUUCCGAGCUUGAGCUGCAGAAGUAUCCGCAGCCUUGUUCUGAAACAUUCCAUAUGUACAAAUAGUUUGAGUGUUGUUGUCAAUCAAAACACCAAGAAACAAACAAAUAAUAAUAAUAAUAAUAAUAAGACAAACCAAUUGUUCAAAAUCUUCGACUUCUGAAUCAGAUGCAUCGAUAUCUCUAGCAUCAAACUCAGCAUUCAUCUCAUCCUCCAAAUCAUCCAUGUCGUAUUCAUCAGCCAUAUAUUCAUCUUCAGUUUCAUUAUAAUCACACAUGGUGAGAUUCAAUUUGAAAAAAAAAUCUCAAUCAUCAAAUAAGGGAAACAGAAACAAACCAAAGUCAGCCAUGUUAGACCUCGAUCACGAAUCUAACUCCCACCCUGCAACAACAGUCGAUACAAUCUCUGAGACGAAGAUCAUUUCUCGAAAUAUCAAUCAAACACGACGAAUUAGGAAUUUUUCAAAACUCUGUAACCAUAUUAAUAAUUCGGAUUAGAAUUCUAAAUUAAGAAUAGUACCUUUUUCCAGAAAUCUAAAUCAUUCGAAAAUUCAAUUGAAAUUCACGAAUAUAAACCCUAGCAAGCCGGGAACCAAUAAAUUCUUCGAUUUCAUGCUCUAAAUCUAUAUAAUAUACACGGAUUGGAUUGGAUUGGAUCGUCAUCAACGCAGAAAGAAAACCUCUAAAUUCGAAAAGAGAGGUUUCGUUUCACCAGAUACAUAAUAAUCAGAGAAUUUAAUUAAAUAAAUGAGAAGAAAAUCGGAUUACCCAAUCUGAAGGAGAAACUGGUUGAGAAUUAGGUAAUCACCGCCGGAUCUGAGCAUCCAUUUUUAUACACCGCGUCUCCAAAUCUUUACUCUCUUCCCUUAUUAAAAAAAGUUGCUUCAUUAUUUUGCAUCCACAAAGCAAUUUUACAUCCAAUGAUAAAGAGCCACGUGUCCCACAUCAUCGUAGUUUUGAACCAGUAUUUUUUUUUUUUAAUUGCUUCUUAUAGUAUAAGUUUAAAUUAACAAUUUUCGAUGACAUAUGAUGAUUAAACAAGUUAUUAAUUAAUCCACAAAUUUUGUUAAUUUCUCCACAAAAUCUGCAAAACAUAAAACAAACCAUAUUCUUUAGUAUUUAAUGUGUUUUCUUAAUUUUUUUUUUUUGUUGUAAAUAAUGUGUUUUCUUAAUUAUAUUAGUAGACAAAAUUAAAUAAAAAAUAAACUGAAGCACGUGGUCCUGACCACUUCGAUACUUUCUUCAUUGGGUUCACAAAAUAUCGUUAUGUGAUGAUUGACAUUUGAGUCGGUGAGUGAGAGACCACUUUCAUCUAAACUUCGCGCGUGAGAGUAACAAAAUCCUGGCGCUCGAUUUGGACACGUGUCAUUUUCUUAAAAUUCCACGUCGGUCAGUCUCAUCCAAACUACCGAGAUAAAGUUUUCUCCAUCGUUUAUCCAAAUUUUCCCUGAUUAGUUUUCUCGGGAAAUUUUUUCUGGCAGAGGCGCGCGCGCGACGGGGAAACUCGACCAUGAUUCUGAGGAAAGUAUGGGGAUCGGUGUGGAGCCGAUCGAGUAGCGGCAAGGAUUCGGCGAGCCAUAGCGCGAUUCAGGUUCCUCUGUCGCCGUCGUCCUCUUCUUCUCUUGGCGCGUUCGAUCAUCUACCGAUGGAUAUUCUAAUCCAGAUUCUGAUGCUGGUGGAGCCGAGAGACGCGGUGAAAUUGAGCUUAACUUGCAAAGCGUGGAGAUGUUUGGGUGGUGAUAAUCGUCUCUGGAUAUUCUAUCUCCAGUGUUCGCAGGAGUCGUGGGACUCCAUCUUCUUCGCGGAGACUAGUUUGCGCUCUGGUUAUCCUCUCCGGUGAGAUUACGAAAUCGCUAUCGAGGAUUGUUAUCGGUUACUAGCUAGUGAUGAUCUCUUUGUUUUUGAUUAGUCAAUAGAUGAAUCAAUGUGUGUUUGGCGAUGAGUAUAAGACGAUUUCUAGGUUUAGUAGCUAUUUUUGCAGAAUCAAUGUAUGUGUUUGGGGAUGAGUAUAAGAAAAUUCAAGGUUUAGUUGCUAUUUUUUUGCAGAAUGCUUUCUAGUCAAUCAGGAGAGUUGUCUUUCAUGCGCAUUUAUGGUCAGAGGGCACGAGUUCCUGGCUCUAUAAUUAUCGAUGGUAUGCUUUCUUCUUUGUUGUGAGUACGAUUGUAUUUGUAUACUAGUUUCAAGUUAUUCAUUUUCAUUUAGGUGGUUCUGGAUAUUGCAAGUUUGGAUGGAGCAAGUAUGCUUCACCUUCUGGACGUUCUGCGACUUUUCUGGUGAGAUAAUCGUUGGUACUGAAGCACUCCAUUAUUUGCUUGUUUACAGAGUUAGUAAGCAUUGCCUCUUCUCUCUUGCACACAAGAUAGUUCUUACUAGUUUGAUCGCCAGGAAUUUGGCAACAUUGAGUCACCCAUAUACGCUAGGCUUCAACAGUUCUUUGCAACCAUUUUCACCAGGUUUGGUUUGCCUCUUUGUUAAAGUAACACCUGGCUUUGUAUUUCUUGACUAUGUAACAUGUGGAUAUAUAGUUUCUUAUGUGAUAAUUUUCUUACAGGAUGCAGGUUAAGCCCUCUAUGCAGCCAAUAGUGGUGUCACUGCCCCUCUGUCAUUUUGAUGGUUAGCUAAUAGUUCUACAACUUCAAGAUUACAUCUUUGCGGUUCCGGUUUUAAGGUUUUCUUCAUUUUUGUUCUCAGAUACUGAAUCAGCCAAGGCAUCAAGGCGGCAACUUAAGACUGCUAUCCUAAAUGUCUUGUUUGACAUGAAUGUUCCUGCAGUGUGCGCAGUUAAUCAGGCGAGCCUUUCUUCACUCUUAAGUGCUUUCUGCUGAUUCAAAGCGGUGUUUUCCUCAGAGAGAUUCAUUCACCUUUUUUAUAGCCUCAUUCCCCACGGUUUUACCCAGAAGAAAUGAUAUUAUGUGUUUUCUUUUUAUAUUUCUGAAUUUGAUACGUCACCAACUGGAGAUAGUAUUAUGCCUUCCUUGUAACAUGAUUAGUUUUAUUACUAUUACAGUCUUAUGCAAAUUAUAAAUGAUCUGUGCUAUAUUUUCAGGCUGUUUUAGCCCUGUAUGCUGCACGGCGGACUUCAGGAAUUGUUGUUAACAUUGGUUUCCAAGUCAUAACCAUUCUUCCGAGUAGGCUGUUUUCUAUCUCUAUCAUUCAAUUCUUUUUGUAUCCUCUCAGUUAGUUUUAGAGACUUGGUAAUGAAUUUGAUUAAUUGUGUCAAAAAGAUGAAUGAAUAUGUGAACAUUUCAAAUUGUUAUUAAAAAGUCCGUUGUGUAUCCAUCUGAUUCUCUCUGCACCAUUCACUUGUGUCUAAGCAAGUUACUUUUGCUGGGUGUUCUUCAGUUUUGCAUGGCAAGGUGAUGCGCCAGAUAGGUGUAGAAAUCAUUGGUUUUGGAGCGUUGAAACUCACGGGAUUCCUUAAGGAGAAGAUGCAAGAGAACAACAUUACCUUCCAAUCGCUCUACACUGUUCGUACUUUAAAAGAGGUAUUACCAUUGACCAACCUGUUCCUAGUAGCAAAUCAUUACGUAGAUUUCCAUCGUAAAUGGCUCUUUUGUAAAUCAACGUAUCCCUGUGCGAGGCUGUAAGAUAGACAUGAUGUACAAUGUCUCCUAAACUAUUUAUUAAAAGUUAAACAUAAGAAGUAACUGAGUAUAGCUCUUUCUUGUAAGUUGGUUUACAUGAUGAUUUUUUGUUAUUCGAACGUAGAACCUGUGUUAUGUGGCGCUUGAUUAUAAAGCUGAACUUUCAAGGGACACACAAGCUUCAAUGAAAAUUGCGGGUGAAGGGUGGUUUACUUUGUCAAAGGAGCGUUUUCAGACAGGGGAGAUAUUAUUCCAACCACGUCUUGCUGGACUGUAAGGCCUACCUUACCCUACUUAUUAGCAUCAGUGAUUAAGAAAAAUAAAUCCUUGAAGCCUUUCUAGGAUAUGGAAUCUAAACUAGUUCUGAAUCUAGAAAUUAUAUCAUCUGAUCAUAGUCCAAAAAUUUGUUAAUAGGUUCCACCAUUUUCAUCGUGACUAAUAUUUUCUCAGAUUACAUCAUUGUAGAGUGAUAAAACUGCAUACAUCUCAUGCCCGGGUUGUGUGUUGUUGUGAACAUUGACCAUUUUUAAAUUUUUUUUUUUUGAUUGGUAUAUGUCAUUGCAAAAACAGACGGGCAAUGAGUUUGCAUCAGGCAGUGGCGCUCUGUAUGGACCAUUGUGAUGCAGCAGGAGUUACAGGUGAUGAUAGCUGGUUCAAAACUGUAGUAUUGGCUGGAGGAAGCGCAUGUUUGCCAGGACUUGCAGGUACGAUAAUAUUACCUCUUUUGUAAUGCCAUGAAUUUACUCUGAAGUGAAUAAUUAGUAGUUCUUUCGUACAACUUGAAACAUCUUUGAAACUCGAUCUAAAAGAAUAGAGCACUUAACUAACAUGCCUAUGCGUUUUUUUUUGUCUUUGUGAGCUGUAUCCAGAAAGGCUAGAGAAAGAACUGCAUGACCACCUUCCUUCUUAUAUAUGCAAUGGAGUCAGAGUAAUCCCUCCUCCUUGCGGCGUGGACUCAGCAUGGCAUGGAGCAAAGCUUAUCAGUAACGUAAGUCGAUAUUAUAUUGAUGAUAUUCAUUGAGUUUACAAUUAAGCGACGCAUCUCUCUUUCUCAGUCUCCUUAGCGGUUUUAAUACCAACAGAUUAUUUCUCAAGUGCUACUGUCUGAAACAUACCUUAGAUGGUGCUAUAUUUAACAUACCACGCCUGAGGCUCACGCAAUUGCAUGUUAAUUAAUUACUAUGUGCAGUUAAGCACGUUUCCUGGUCCUUGGUGUAUCACAAGGAAGCAGUUCCGUCGCAAAUCAAGACUAAUGUGGUGAAUCUCUCAGGUUUUUACUUCUUACAUAUACUGAUAUACAAGACCAAGCUAUUCGAUUCGUAAGUGAGAGGCAUGUUGACUGCAUAAUAGUUCCAAGGUACUUUACAUGUCUGGAUGUAUAGUGUAAUAGUGUUCCAUUAUUGUUUGCCCUCCAAAGCCUAGAAAACAUUAUGAAGAAUCAAGUUACUUGCUUAUACACACUGUGUUUUAAAUAUAGCUUGUUGAAACCUUUUGUUGAUUUAUAUACUUAAAUCCUUUCACAAUCUUCUUUAUAAUAUUUACUAGGCCAAUUUAUAGAAGAGACAAUGAUACAUAUACAUAAGUCAAUCAUACAAAUUAUCAUUUAGAAGUUUUUGAAGUUCCCUUAAUCAUAGAUAUACAGAGACUUGUAACAAGUAGCAGCAUUACAUAUGGCUUUGUCGGCCUCGAAAUAAUAAAACAGUCACGAAUAAAGCUACGGUCAUCCAAAUACGAGAAGAAGCGGUGGUGGUGGUGGUGGCUGUGUUUACGUCUGCUACUGAAUUGGGAGGCAUAUCGGGGCACUCGAGGCCUUCUUUAUCUCCUUUACACUGGCUAGAGAACAGUCCAGCCGGGUAUUUCCCAUAGAUAUUGAUGUAACUGAACAUCGUGCUUGCACAAUCUGUGGACAGGUCGUUGAGCUGUUCGGCGUAAGGACACGCAAACUCUAAAAAGGAAGAGCAACACUCCUUUACUGGGAAUUUGGGACCUUUACACUGGCUCGUUAUGACAGUGUAGUUCAUAAACUCUAAGUUCAGGGAACAUUCUGUUACCAUGGAUUGGCCAAGAAAGUAAGGAAUUUUAUAAGCAUAAUAAACACACAGAAAAACCUCCAGGAUAAAGAAACCAGAAUCAAAAUUAUGAAUAUGGAUCAACAUAGAGGUAGCUCCAUCUGGAUCGGUUUGUAUUUGUGCUUUCACACAUUGGGAAACAAAAAAUGGAACUCUUAACUAAGAUUCUAAUACAUGCGAAGAGAUUCAGUUUUAAAUGAUCAGAAGAAGAUAAACAAGUUGGGGAAAGCAAGAUUUUAUGAGAUUGCGAAGUGACUUACUUUUCUUGGCCUGAAGUAGGUUUCUUCCAAUAACCAAAUCCUGAGAUUCGAGCACACCAUCUGCAUUUUUUUCAAAAAAAUAAAUAAAUAAAUAAAAAACAAAUUGACUGAGAACAUUCAAACAGUUAUUUGGGGAAGAAAAGAAUCAAGAAAGUGUUACCGGAGAUAACAGUAGAGGAUGAGAAAGAUGAAACUAUUGCGAGUAGAAGAGAGACGAGAAGAGCUCUAGAGAGGAAGUUGAGCUCCAUGGCUCUUUGAUUACACACAGAGUGACUAAAGAGAACUGAUAAAAAUAAAGACAACAGCUAUCACGAAACACCAAGUUAGGUAGAGAGAGAGAGAGACUAAAAAUUAAGUUCCUUAAAAAGAGAGAGGUUGAUGACAAUAUUUUUAACAUUGGAUUACAGCCUUGCAAGGACGCGGAAACGUGCGAGCCUUUAAUGCAACGUUCUCAAACAAUGACGUUUCAUUGCCGUGGCAUUUUAUUUGUUGCUACUGUAUAUAUCAAUCAGUACAGUGUGCCAAAUUGUCGAUGAUGUAUAUUUAACUUAAUUUUCCUAUAGGUUACAACAAAAACGCUGAUAAACAAAUUAACAUAGGAUAGUUUGGUGAUGAAUGGUAUUUUUUUUUUAAAUUUGAACGUUGUGUUCCAAGACAAGAAUGGUAUACUAAUUUUAAUGUUCAUUUUUAUGAAUAUAAUGUAAGAUAAUUCUCUACCAUUCUGUUUUGAACAUACAAAAUCCUAUUCUGCUUGGGCUUGCUACUGCUCCUUUCUGUAACAUCUAAUGUCUAGGGGAGGGAUACCCCUUAUCUGUUAUUUCCUCUAUUUGAGCGUUUAUUCACAUGCGGUGAGAGUUUGCUCGAUGUUGAAGUCCAUUAUUUACAGAAACCUAGUGGAAAGAAAUGAACAUUUUAGAGGCAAGAAGAAAAAAUCAUUCAAAUCUACAAAUAGCAAAUGCAACUUGAGUCCUACUUUUACCUUAUCAACAUAUAUAUAGGUAAUAUUGACAAUGAAACCUAACCCAACAUAAACUCUCAAACAAAAUAUCUCAUACAUAAAAUAGUAUUCAUUUUAAUAUAAUUUAAUUAAUAAUUAAAUUUUAAACCAUAAGAUUAAAGUGAAGAAAUUACCAUGCAACACAUCAUAUCAAAGUAUCUCCUUUUUUGUUGUUGAGUUUUUUUCAGAUGAGAACCUCCUGUGCUUCUCUUACAACAUUUUACAAUUUUUUAUGUUUCUUUAAAAGUUUUACUGUCUUCGAAUUACCAUAUUCUGUAAUGAAAUCUAAUUUAGAUUUAAUUCAGUUCGAAAAAGACAAACAAGUAGCCAGCUAACUUCUUGAAUACUUAAGUACCUUUUUUUUUUGAAUACUUAAGUACCAUGUUGAUUUUUUUCCAGAGAAAACCAUGCAUAUUGUCAAAAUUGUAGAACAAGUCUUAUUCACUAUAUUCUAUUCUCAGGACUUUUCUGUUGGACAAACCAUAAGGGCCAAUAGGAAUCAAACACCGUACAAUCCUUUUUGGAUCAUCUAAAUGUGUUGGUCCAAAAUAAUUUCACUGUUAGUAUUUUAUGUUGAUCACAAAUGCAAAGAAUUAUAAUCCUUUUUGGAUGAUCUAAAUACGUUGGUCCAAAAUAAUUUCACUGUUAGUAUUUUAUGUUGAUCACAAAGGCAAAGAAUAUAUAAUUUGCAAAGUUUGUAUCUUCUCCAUUCACAUAGCAAGAGACUUGACUCAUCUUAAUCAUAUAACAGCCUCAAAGCAUUCCAAUAUCUUAACAAGGCAUAGUAAAAAGCUCAUGUACACACCCACAACACAUGCCUUAUGAUAUUAAAAACUAUUAAAGUAAAAGCUACACACACUCAGUUUUUUUUUCCUUUUACUUCUUCUCUUCUUAGACGUCUAAGGCGCAAUGUAAUGUCGCAGAUCAUUAUUGCCAAUCACCGCUCAGUCCAUUGCAUACAUCUGGGUCCAGAAACGGGCAGUGGUCUCGUACUUGGCUCGGUCUGUCUUGUAUAUGUGAGCUAUUUCUGGAACCAGAGCUUCAUCAGGGUUUGGAUCUGUAACUGUAGUAUUGGCUGGAGGAAGCGCAUGUUUGCCAGGACUUGCAGGUACGAUAAUAUUACCUCUUUUGUAAUGCCAUGAAUUUACUCUGAAGUGAAUAAUUAGUAGUUCUUUCGUACAACUUGAAACAUCUUUGAAACUCGAUCUAAAAGAAUAGAGCACUUAACUAACAUGCCUAUGCGUUUUUUUUUGUCUUUGUGAGCUGUAUCCAGAAAGGCUAGAGAAAGAACUGCAUGACCACCUUCCUUCUUAUAUAUGCAAUGGAGUCAGAGUAAUCCCUCCUCCUUGCGGCGUGGACUCAGCAUGGCAUGGAGCAAAGCUUAUCAGUAACGUAAGUCGAUAUUAUAUUGAUGAUAUUCAUUGAGUUUACAAUUAAGCGACGCAUCUCUCUUUCUCAGUCUCCUUAGCGGUUUUAAUACCAACAGAUUAUUUCUCAAGUGCUACUGUCUGAAACAUACCUUAGAUGGUGCUAUAUUUAACAUACCACGCCUGAGGCUCACGCAAUUGCAUGUUAAUUAAUUACUAUGUGCAGUUAAGCACGUUUCCUGGUCCUUGGUGUAUCACAAGGAAGCAGUUCCGUCGCAAAUCAAGACUAAUGUGGUGAAUCUCUCAGGUUUUUACUUCUUACAUAUACUGAUAUACAAGACCAAGCUAUUCGAUUCGUAAGUGAGAGGCAUGUUGACUGCAUAAUAGUUCCAAGGUACUUUACAUGUCUGGAUGUAUAGUGUAAUAGUGUUCCAUUAUUGUUUGCCCUCCAAAGCCUAGAAAACAUUAUGAAGAAUCAAGUUACUUGCUUAUACACACUGUGUUUUAAAUAUAGCUUGUUGAAACCUUUUGUUGAUUUAUAUACUUAAAUCCUUUCACAAUCUUCUUUAUAAUAUUUACUAGGCCAAUUUAUAGAAGAGACAAUGAUACAUAUACAUAAGUCAAUCAUACAAAUUAUCAUUUAGAAGUUUUUGAAGUUCCCUUAAUCAUAGAUAUACAGAGACUUGUAACAAGUAGCAGCAUUACAUAUGGCUUUGUCGGCCUCGAAAUAAUAAAACAGUCACGAAUAAAGCUACGGUCAUCCAAAUACGAGAAGAAGCGGUGGUGGUGGUGGUGGCUGUGUUUACGUCUGCUACUGAAUUGGGAGGCAUAUCGGGGCACUCGAGGCCUUCUUUAUCUCCUUUACACUGGCUAGAGAACAGUCCAGCCGGGUAUUUCCCAUAGAUAUUGAUGUAACUGAACAUCGUGCUUGCACAAUCUGUGGACAGGUCGUUGAGCUGUUCGGCGUAAGGACACGCAAACUCUAAAAAGGAAGAGCAACACUCCUUUACUGGGAAUUUGGGACCUUUACACUGGCUCGUUAUGACAGUGUAGUUCAUAAACUCUAAGUUCAGGGAACAUUCUGUUACCAUGGAUUGGCCAAGAAAGUAAGGAAUUUUAUAAGCAUAAUAAACACACAGAAAAACCUCCAGGAUAAAGAAACCAGAAUCAAAAUUAUGAAUAUGGAUCAACAUAGAGGUAGCUCCAUCUGGAUCGGUUUGUAUUUGUGCUUUCACACAUUGGGAAACAAAAAAUGGAAC
rnacentral:lncRNA from 1 species